rnacentral:lncRNA from 1 species
ACUUGCCUCUGCCUCCCCAGUGCUUUACAUAAUUUGAUCUCUAGUGUUCCAAAUAAAUAAUAGUAAUAAUAACAAUUGGAUUUUAUCAAAGUUAAAAACAUUUACAUAACGAUUAGUGAACAAUUAUAGAUGAAAUAUCUGUCAUAUAUAUGAUGAUUCUAUAAAACAUAUGUUACCAGGUAUGAAAAAAGAGUUAUCAGACUAUAUAAAGGACUUCAAAUAUUCGAAAGCAAGCAGGGGCUGAGAUGGCUCAGAGGUUAAGAACUCCUGCUGCUAGGACCUGAGUUCAGUUCCCAGCACCCUUUCAGGUAACUCGAAGCUGUCACUCCAUUUCCAGGGGAUCCUGUGCACUCUACUGGCCUCUAAGGGCACUGCAUUUACAUGUAUAGACUCAAACCAACAGUGACACACAGAUGCAUAAUAAAGGAAUCGUAAAACAAGCAACUCAACUACAGAGAAGUGAUUUCCUGUUUAUUGGUGCCUUGCUGCUUUGUGUGUCAGCUUACUACUUGCAUGCCUGGUGCCCACAGAGACCCCAUAAAGGUUGUCGGAUACCUUAGAACUCCUCUCUUACAAAGGGUUGUGAGCCGCCGUAUGGGUGCUGGAAAUUGAACCUCGGUCAUCUGGAACAGUGUUUCUUAACCACUCAGCCAUCUCUCCAGUCCCUCAACCCAACUUUAAAAGUAAUAUUUGAACAGAUGCUUCAUCAAAAAAGAUACAUGGAAGCUGUCAGGGUUGCCAGUUUUGGAACCCACAGGAUGGAACGAGAGAACCAAAUUCUGCAAGUUCGUGCUUCAUGCACACACAAUCACAGUUUUGAAUUUUUUAUUUUUUGGUCUUUUGAAACAGGGUUUCUUUGUGUAGCUUUUUCUGUCCUGAACCUCACUCUGCAGACCAGGGUGACCUCAAACUUACAGAGAUCUCUGCCUGCCUCUGCCUCCCAAGUGCUGGGAUUAAAGGCAUGCGCCACCACGACCUAGCUUAAGUUUUCUCUUUUAGAUCUUAUAUUUAUUUGUAUGAGUGUUUUGCCUUCAUGCGUUUUUGUGUGCCACUUGCAUCUCUGUUGUAUUACAGAUGGUUGUCAGCCAACAUGUGGGUGCCAGAAAUGUCACUAAGGGUCUUGGCAAAAGCACUAAGUGCUCUCAACUGCUGAGCCAUCUCUCCAGCCACAUUUUUUUUUUUUUUUUUUUUUUGAGACAGGGUUUGUCUGUGCAGCCCUGGCUGUCCUGGAACUCACUUUGUACACCAGGCUGGUCUCGAACUCAGAAAUCCGCCUGCCUCUGUCUCCUGAGUGCUGGGAUUAAAGGCGUGCACCACCAUACCUGGCUACAAAUUUUUAAAGAUAUGCAAAUGACAGAUAUAGUGUGAGAAGUUGCUAGUACAUUAACAGGCACUAGGAAUUAAAAUCAUAGUGACAUAGUUAUGUGUCUAUUAGAAUGGCCGAAAUCUGGAUGGUUGACAAUAUCAAGUAUUGGCAAGGAUAUGACUUUUCUGAGACAGGGUCUCACUGUGUAGCCUUGGCUAGUCUGGAACACAUUAUAUAUUUUUUUCCUUAUUUUAUCAAAUCCCUAAAUUAUCCAUCAUCCUAUUGGCUCAGGACAGAUUCAAGUUUUAUUGUGAUGGUUGUUUUUGCACUGCUGUGAUAAAACAGGUGAAGAAUAACUUACGGGUUUGUGUUACAGCAUGAUUUCAUUCCAAUACCUUAAGGCGACACCUUAACAAAACAUGGUGGCAGACAGGAAACACUUGGCUAACUAAGCCUGGCAGGGAGUGGGUGGGCAGGCAUAAUGUUAAAAUGACUGUUUCUAGUGACCUACUUGUGCCAAUCAGGUUCCACCUCCUAAAGGUUCCACAUGCUUCAAAAUAGCCCUAUGAGCUGGGGGAAAUAAAAACAAAAAACAAAAC